rnacentral:pre_miRNA from 1 species
UCACCUCCGCAGGCUGACUGCCUCUAGGCUGGGCUGGAUGAAGAUCUCUUCCAAAGGCUCACCUUCAAGCACAACUAGGAGC